rnacentral:rRNA from 1 species
AUGUCUAGUAGGUCUUCUUCAGUUAGAACUGAAGCAGGCAGUGGAGGUAGCAUGGAUGCAGUCCAUGUAUUGGCUGCUGCUCGUGUGAUUCCGGAAGAUGAUAAUGAGAAGAAGCCUUUGUGGAGGUACGUCCAGACGUUGGAAAAUACUAGGAAAGGGAAAGGAGGCAACAAGAGAUCCAUGUGUAGGCUUUGUGAGUAUGUUAUCAAUGGUAGCUACUCAAGAGUAAAGGCACACCUUUUGAAGAUUCCUAACAUGGGUGUGAGUUCAUGUCAAAAGGUCACUGUCGAUGUUCUUGUUCAGUUGAAAGGUGAGCAAGAGAGAGCCGAUGCACUGAUUGAGAGCAAUAAACCUAGAGAAAUCCCACUGCCAACUGAAGGAUUUGGAGCAAAUGCAAGAAAGAAAAGGGGGGGUAAUCCAAUUGAGGCAUGCUUUGACAUGGAAGCUCGCAACCACCUUGAUGCAUUGAUCGCAAGGAUGUUUUACACAGCAGGGAUCCCAUUCAAUGUUGCACGUAAUCCUUGGUUCAGGGCAGCUUUCAUCUUUGCUGCCGGCCAUGCCAAUUCGUUGGCUGGCUAUGCCCCUCCAAGUUAUGAUAAGCUCAGGACCACUCUUCUGGUGCAAGAGAGGACACAUGUUGAUAGAAUGUUGAUGCCCAUCAAAUCAACAUGGAGCAGCAAAGGUGUGACUAUUGUUUCAGAUGGAUGGUCUGAUCCUCAAAGGCGUCCAUUACUUAAUUUCAUGGCUAUAACAGAAGAUGGGCCCAUGUUUCUAAGGUCAAUUAACACCGAGGGAGAGGUGAAGUCAAAGGAGUACAUCAGGGACAGGCUUUGUGAAAUUAUUGAGGCUGUUGGACCAGCAAAUGUUGUGCAGGUGAUAACAGAUAAUGCAUCAAACUGCAGGGGCGCAGGUCUGUUGGUGCAAGAAAGGUAUAAUCACAUUUUCUGGACUCCAUGUGUUGUGCACACUUUAAAUCUUGCCUUGAAGAGCAUAGGUUCAGCUACUAGCCAGGAUGACCCUCUUUAUGAUCAUUGCAAUUGGAUUAGUGAGAUUGCAGCAGAUGGCUUUCGCAUAAAACAUUUCAUUAUGAGUCAUUCCAUGAGGUUGUCUAUGUUCAAUGCUAGUAGUAAACUGAAAUUGCUUGCUGUGGCUGAUACUAGAUUUGCUUCUCAAGUUGUGAUGUUGAAGAGACUGGUACAAAUAAGACAAGCUCUAACAAUGAUGGUGGUGGGGCCAAAGUGGAAUGACUACAGAAAUGACAAUGUAGAAGGAGCACGAUUUGUGAAAGAAAAAAUACUGGAUGAUGAUUGGUGGAAUAAGGUUGAGUACUUCAUUGAAUUUGCAGAGCCAAUAUAUUCUAUGAUUAGAGCAGCUGAUACAGAUAAACCCUGCCUUCAUCUGACCUAUGAGAUGUGGGAUAUGAUGAUUGAGAAGGUGAAGGAAGUAAUAUACAGGAAAGAAGGUCUAGAACCCCAUGAAGAAUCCCCAUUCUUCUCUGCGGUCAAUGAUGUCUUAAUUUUUCGCUGGACAAAGAGUAGCACUCCGCUGCAUUGCUUGGCUCACUCGCUCAAUCCCAAGUACUACACUACAGCCUGGAUUAGUGAAGUUCCAGGCCAUCAAGCUCCACACAUGGAUCAAGAGAUUUCAGAUGAAAGAAAUGCAUGCUUUAGAAGAUUCUUUCCUCAUGGGGGCCCAGAAAUGAAUGAACUGAAACAGCAGUUUGCCAACUUCAGUCUUAUGGGUCCUGGAUUUAAUGGUUUCGACUCCAUUGAAGAUAGAUCUUUGCUAGAGCCGAAGCAGUGGUGGGGGAUUCAUGGAAAUUCUGCCCCGGCUUUGAGGACCAUUGCUCUGAAAUUACUUGGGCAACCAACCUCCUCUUCUUGUUCUGAAAGGAAUUGGAGUACAUAUGGCAUGAUACACAAUACAUUGAGGAACAGGCUCAACCCUGCACGUGCUGAAGAUUUAGUUUUUGUGCAUCAAAACUUGCGCCUUAUUUCAAGGAAAUCACCAGAGUAUAUAUCUGGCCCAUCCAGAUUUUGGGACAUUGGAGGAGAUAGAUAUGAGCUGUUCGUUGGUGGUGCUGACUUCCUGCAGCAAGCUGAACUAUCACUAGAUGAGCCUGAACUGGAGGACUUGCUGAAUGAAAUUGAAGCGUUGGAUGUGGAUUAG